CCUGACGCAGCAACGCCGCGUGUGUGAUGAAGGUCUUCGGAUUGUAAAGCACUUUCGACCGGGACGAAAACCCGUUGGCUAACAUCCAGCGGCUUGACGGUACCGGGAGAAGAAGCACCGGCUAACUCUGUGCCAGCAGCCGCGGUAAUACAGAGGGUGCAAGCGUUGUUCGGAAUUAUUGGGCGUAAAGCGCGUGUAGGCGGCGUGACAAGUCGGGUGUGAAAGCCCUCAGCUCAACUGAGGAAGUGCGCCCGAAACUGUCGUGCUUGAGUGCCGGAGAGGGUGGCGGAAUUCCCCAAGUAGAGGUGAAAUUCGUAGAUAUGGGGAGGAACACCGGUGGCGAAGGCGGCCACCUGGACGGUAACUGACGCUGAGACGCGAAAGCGUGGGGAGCAAACAGGAUUAGAUACCCUGGUAGUCCACGCCGUAAACGAUGAGAACUAGGUGUCGUGGGAGUUGACCCCCGCGGUGCCGAGGCUAACGCAUUAAGUUCUCCGCCUGGGAAGUACGGUCGCAAGACUA
rnacentral:rRNA from 1 species